AUGGCUGCUCAAGCAGUAGUAGCUCCAUCCAUGAUGAGUGAUCCAGAGAGUACUACUGCCAAGAGUUCAACAACACAAGAAGAAGAAGAUGUCCUCCCACCCAAGGAUUUCGUAGCCGCACUUCCAGUAAGAGAGGGGUGGUCUGAACCACUGGUUCAAUACAAGAACUACUGGUUCAGGCCGAGGCUCCUGGAGCAGAUCCUGCUCGUCCAGCACGCCUUCGUGCCCCGCGCCGACGACAUCAUCCUCGCCACGCAGCCCAAAUGCGGCACCACCUGGCUCAAAGCCCUCGCCUUCACCAUCGCCAACCGGUCCCGCUACGGCUUCAGCGACCACCCGCUCCGCACACGCCACCCACAGCAUGUCGUGCCGUUCAUCGAGAUCCCGGGCGCCGGCCCGAACCACACCGACAUCCAUACACUUCCGCCUCCGAGGCUUCUCGCCACGCACAUGCCCAUGUCGUUGCUCCCGCCGGGCACGAGAUCGGUCGGCUGCCGGGUCGUGUACCUGUGCCGGGACCCCAAAGACGCCCUCGUGUCAAGGCUGCAUUUCGAGAACAAGGCGUUCCAGGGCACCAAUCUGUCCAUGGACAAUGCUUUCAGCAUGUUCUGCGAGGGGUUCUCGCCCUAUGGCCCCUUCUGGGAUCACUGCCUUGGGUACUGGAGGGAGAGCAUAGCAAGGCCGGACAACAUCCUCUUCUUGAAGUAUGAAGAGAUCAAGUCCGAUCCUGUGCCCGUGGUGAGGAAGCUGGCGAAAUUUCUCGGCAUCCCGCUGACCGAGGAGGAGGAGAGCUCUGGUGUUGCUCAAGAGGUGGUGAAGUUGUGCAGCUUUGAGACGCUUACCAGCCUGCAAGUGAAUCAGGUCGGCGGCGUUCGUCACGGUGAUAAAUUUUUCUUGAGUAACUCUGUGUUUUACAGAAAAGGAGAAGUAGGGGACUGGGCAAACCACAUGAGCCACGUGAUGGGGGAGGAGUUGGAUCGCAUCGUCCAACAAAAGCUUGAGGGAUCUGGGCUUGUGUUUUGA
rnacentral:rRNA from 1 species